AGGACGAACGCUGGCGGCGUGCUUAACACAUGCAAGUCGAACGGAAAGGCUCCAGCUUGCUGGAGUACUCGAGUGGCGAACGGGUGAGUAACACGUGGGUAAUCUGCCCUGCACUCUGGGAUAAGCCUGGGAAACUGGGUCUAAUACUGGAUAUGACCUUUCUCCUUAUGGGGUUUGGUGGAAAGUUUUUCGGUGUAGGAUGAGCCCGCGGCCUAUCAGCUUGUUGGUGGGGUGAUGGCCUACCAAGGCGACGACGGGUAGCCGGCCUGAGAGGGUGAUCGGCCACAUUGGGACUGAGAUACGGCCCAGACUCCUACGGGAGGCAGCAGUGGGGGAAUAUUGCACAAUGGGCGGAAGCCUGAUGCAGCGACGCCGCGUGAGGGAUGACGGCCUUCGGGUUGUAAACCGUCUUUCAGCAGGGACGAAGCGAAAGUGACGGUACCUGCAGAAGAAGCACCGGCUAACUACGCGCCAGCAGCCGCGGU
rnacentral:rRNA from 1 species